rnacentral:lncRNA from 1 species
UUGGUAUAAACAGAAGCAGCCGGGGGAGGAGCGCUAGCUCGGCCAGUCAGCCCGGAAAGCUCCAGCUCGUACUCCGGAGGAACCCUGUACUGAAUCCUAAUCAAUGAGAGUUCCUCCGGAGUCAGAGAGCUGGGGAUGGUGUCUGGUACAAAGACCAGACGAGGUUCAUCUACAGAACUAAGAUUUUGGGGGGCUGGAAUGGACGAACUCCUAGAACUGCUAG